UACGUAGGGCGCAAGCGUUAUCCGGAAUUAUUGGGCGUAAAGAGCUCGUAGGCGGUUUGUCGCGUCUGCUGUGAAAACGCGAGGCUCAACCUCGCGCCUGCAGUGGGUACGGGCAGACUGGAGUGCGGUAGGGGAGAUUGGAAUUCCUGGUGUAGCGGUGGAAUGCGCAGAUAUCAGGAGGAACACCGAUGGCGAAGGCAGAUCUCUGGGCCGUAACUGACGCUGAGGAGCGAAAGCGUGGGGAGCGAACAGG
rnacentral:rRNA from 1 species